AUACCAGAUAAUAUAUAUAAGAUUCGUUUCGUUAGUUUUAAUUAAUUUUGUAAAAAAUUAUGCUUUAUCCACAGCUAUCGUCAACUGAAAAAGCUAUGUUUUGCUCGCUGUAUGUUUCUGGCUCAGUCGAGAUUUAUUUUAAUUAUACUUUCGGCUGGUGAUUGCUUUUACUACCAACUGUGACGUCUCGCUUAUCAGA
rnacentral:lncRNA from 1 species